GACAACGUGGCCGAGCGGUUAAGGCGAUUGACUAGAAUGUUGAUUCUAAGGUUCCACUUGGACUCUGCCAUCAAUUGGGAUUUUCCCGCGUAGGUUCAAAUCCUGCCGUUGUCG
rnacentral:tRNA from 1 species